UACGUAGGGGGCAAGCGUUGUCCGGAUUUAUUGGGCGUAAAGAGCGUGUAGGCGGCCACACAGGUCUGCUGUGAAAACUCGAGGCUCAACCUCGAGCUGUCGGUGGAAACCGUGUGGCUAGAGUCCGGAAGAGGAGAGUGGAAUUCCCGGUGUAGCGGUGAAAUGCGCAGAUAUCGGGAAGAACACCCGUGGCGAAGGCGGCUCUCUGGGACGGUACUGACGCUGAGACGCGAAGGCCAGGGGAGCAAACGGG
rnacentral:rRNA from 1 species